rnacentral:rRNA from 1 species
UGAGUUUGAUCCUGGCUCAGAGCUAAUGCUAGCAGCAGGCCUAACACAUGCAAGUUGAGCAGAAUGACCUAGUAAUAGGUUGUCUAGCGGCAUACGGGUGAGUAAUGCGUAAGAUAUCUACCUUAUUCCAUGGGAUAAUACUAGGGCAACCUGUAUCAAUAUCAUAUGAUUCCUGUAUCAGGUAAAGAAGUGAUUUGGAAUAAGAUGAGCUUAUGUUAGAUUAGCUAGUUGGCGAAGGUAAGAGCUCACCUAGGCGAUAAUCUAUAGCUGGUCUGGGAGGACGAACAGCCACACUGGGACUGAGACACGGCCCAGACUCUUUCGGGAGGCAGCAGUGAGGAAUAUUGGACAAUGGGCGCAAGCCUGAUCCAGCUAUGUUGCGUGAGUGAUGACAGUUCCAUAUAAACAUGCUAAGCGCAUGUGAAUUGUAAAACUCUUUUAUCAAUGUUCAUAGUGAUAUAAUUGAUGAAUAAGCUCCGGCCAACUCCGUGCCAGCAGCCGCGGUAAUACGGGGGGAGCAAGUGUUGUUCAGUUUAACUGGGCGUAAAGCGUGCUAAGGCUGUUUUAUAAGUUAAUAAUUAAAUCUUGAAGCUUAACUUCAUAUGAUUAUUAAUACUGUUUAACUAGAAUAUAAUGGGGGUGAACAGAAUUCCAAGUGUAGAGGUUAAAUUUGUUGAUAUUUGGAGGACUACCGGAGGCGAAGGCGGUUCACUAUGUUAUUAUUGACGCUUAUUGCACGAAAGCGUGGGUAGCAAACAGGAUUAGAUACCCUGGUAGUCCACGCUGUAAACGAUGAGUGCUAGCAGUUGAAGCAUCCUAUAUGGCUUUGAUUGCACAGCUAACGCGUUAAGCACUCCGCCAGGGUAGUAUGAUCGCAAGAUUGAAACCCAAAGGAAUUGACGGAGGCCUGUCCAAGCGGUGGAGCAUGUGGUUUAAUUCGAAACUACACGAAGAAUCUUACCAGCCCUUGACAUUUUAGGCUAAAGACAUUUAAUUAAAGUUAAUUAUCAUGUCCGAAAGGACGGCCUUUAACAGGUGCUGCAUGGCUGUCGUCAGCUCGUGUCGUGAGAUGUAUGAUUAAGUUCCAUAACUAGCGCAACCCUUGCCCUUAGUUGCUUAAAGUAAUAAAACCAGCUCUCUAAGGGGACUGCUAAUUCAAAGUUAGAGGAAGGAGAGGAUAACGUCAAGUCAUCAUGGCCCUUAUGGGCUGGGCCACACACGUGCUACAAUAGCAACCACAGAGAGUCGCAAUGCCGCGAGGCUGAGCAAAUCUUUUAAAAGUUGUUUAAGUUCAGAUUGCACCUCUGUAAUUCGAGUGCAUGAAGCAGGAAUCGCUAGUAAUCGCGGAUCAGCAUGCCGCGGUGAAUACGUUCUCAGGCCUAGUACACACUGCCCGUCACGCCAUGGGAGCCAGCUUUGCUUUAAGCCUAUGCAUUAGCAAAGGUAAUAGCAAAACAGGUGACUGGGGCGAAGUCGUAACAAGGUAGCCGUAGGUGAACCUGUGGCUG